CGAUGCCUAAGACAUGCAAGUCGUACGAGAAGGCCCACUGAUAUUGACUGAAGUUGGAGUGCUUGCACAAAGAUGAAUUUGAUGGAUGUGGAUUUCCUUCUAGUGGCAAACGGGUGAGUAACACGUGGGUUACCUACCUCUAAGACGGGGAUACCAAUUGGAAACGAUUGUUAAUACCGGAUGUGCUCUACGGAGUAAAGAUGCCCUUAAAGCAUCGCUUAGAGAUGGGCCUGCGUCGCAUUAGCUAGUUGGUUAGGGUAAUGGCCUACCAAGGCAACGAUGCGUAGCCGAACUGAGAGGUUAAUCGGCCACAUUGGGACUGAGACACGGCCCAGACUCCUACGGGAGACAGCAGUUAGGAAUAUUCGUCAAUGGGGGAAACCCUGAACGAGCAAUGCCGCGUGAGUGAAUGAAGGUCCUCUGGAUUGUAAAACUCUGUUGUUUAGGAAAAAUUGUAUAGUUAGGAAAUGAACUAUAUUUGAUGGUACUAUUCAAGAAAGCCACGGCUAACUACGUGCCAGCCGCCGC
rnacentral:rRNA from 1 species